GACGAACGCUGGCGGCGUGCUUAACACAUGCAAGUCGAGCGGUAAGGCUCCUUCGGGAGUACACGAGCGGCGAACGGGUGAGUAACACGUGAGCAACCUGCCCUUCUCAUCGGAAUAAGCGUUGGAAACGACGUCUAAUGCCGAAUAUGACAACGGAUCGCAUGAUCUGUUGUGGAAAGCUCCGGCGGAGAAGGAUGGGCUCGCGGCCUAUCAGCUUGUUGGGGGGGUAACGGCGCACCAAGGCGACGACGGGUAGCCGGCCUGAGAGGGUGACCGGCCACACUGGGACUGAGACACGGCCCAGACUCCUACGGGAGGCAGCAGUGGGGAAUAUUGGACAAUGGGCGCAAGCCUGAUCCAGCAACGCCGCGUGAGGGAUGACGGCCUUCGGGUUGUAAACCUCUUUCAGCAGGGACGAAGCGAAAGUGACGGUACCUGCAGAAGAAGGACCGGCCAACGACGUGCCAGCCGCCGCGGUAAGAC
rnacentral:rRNA from 1 species